rnacentral:rRNA from 1 species
UGGACGCUGGCGGCGUGCCUACUACAUGCAAGUCGAGCGAACAGAUACGGAGCUUGCUCCUUUGACGUUAGCGGCGGACGGGUGAGUAACACGUGGGUAACCUACCUAUAAGACUGGAAUAACUCCGGGAAACCGGGGCUAAUGCCGGAUAACAUUUAGAACCGCAUGGUUCUAAAGUGAAAGAUGGUUUUGCUAUCACUUAUAGAUGGACCCGCGCCGUAUUAGCUAGUUGGUAAGGUAACGGCUUACCAAGGCAACGAUACGUAGCCGACCUGAGAGGGUGAUCGGCCACACUGGAACUGAGACACGGUCCAGGCUCCUACGGGAGGCAGCAGUAGGGAAUCUUCCGCAAUGGGCGAAAGCCUGACGGAGCAACGCCGCGUGAGUGAUGAAGGUCUUCGGAUCGUAAAACUCUGUUAUUAGGGAAGAACAAAUGUGUAAGUAACUGUGCACGUCUUGACGGUACCUAAUCAGAAAGCCACGGCUAACUACGUG